rnacentral:lncRNA from 1 species
GCUCUAGCAAUUAAAAUAAACAAUCAUAGGAAAAAUAAGCAUAGGAGAACAAACAUAUUCAUCAUAUAAACUGAAAAGAAAAGGUAAGAUAGAUCUCACAGUUCUUGAAAUCCGAAGGUUUCCGUGUCCUUGCAACCAAGAAAAUGAGUUUAGCCUUGCAUGUUUAUUGAACAACUAAUCAAAAAGAUGGAAGAAUGCAUGAUUUAGG